GAUGAAGAACGUAGUAAAAUGCGAUAAGUAGUGUGAAUUGCAGAAUUCAGUGAAUCAUCGAAUCUUUGAACGCACAUUGCGCCCCUUGGUAUCCCGAGGGGCAUGCCUGUUCGAGCGUCAUUUCACCACUCAAGCCUGGCUUGGUGUUGGGCGACGUCCCCUUUGGGGACGCGCCUCGAAACGCUCGGCGGCGUGGCACCGGCUUUAAGCGUAGCAGAAUCUUUCGCUUUGGAAGUCGGGGCCCCGUCUGCCGGAAGACCUACUCGCAAGGUUGACCUCGGAUCAGGCAGGGAUACCCGCUGAACUUAAGCAUAUCAAUAAGCGGAGGA
rnacentral:misc_RNA from 1 species